GGGACUGAGGCCAAACGGCGCGGCGCUGGUUUCGCACACCAGAGACAGCGAGUUCAACUCUCGCCAGCUCCA
rnacentral:tRNA from 1 species